AGUGAACGCUGGCGGUAGGCCCAACACAUGCAAGUCGAACGGCAGCACAGUAAGAGCUUGCUCUUACGGGUGGCGAGUGGCGGACGGGUGAGGAAUACAUCGGAAUCUACUUUUUCGUGGGGGAUAACGUAGGGAAACUUACGCUAAUACCGCAUACGACCUACGGGUGAAAGCAGGGGAUCUUCGGACCUUGCGCGAUUGAAUGAGCCGAUGUCGGAUUAGCUAGUUGGCGGGGUAAAGGCCCACCAAGGCGACGAUCCGUAGCUGGUCUGAGAGGAUGAUCAGCCACACUGGAACUGAGACACGGUCCAGACUCCUACGGGAGGCAGCAGUGGGGAAUAUUGGACAAUGGGCGCAAGCCUGAUCCAGCCAUACCGCGUGGGUGAAGAAGGCCUUCGGGUUGUAAGGCCCUUUUGUUGGGAAAGAAAAGCAGCAGGUUAAUACCCCGCUGUUCUGACGGUACCCAAAGAAUAAGCACCGGCUAACUUCGUG
rnacentral:rRNA from 1 species